rnacentral:rRNA from 1 species
CGCGAAGAACCUUAACCAGGUCUUGACAUCCUCUGACACUCCUAGAGAUAGGACGUUCCCCUUCCGGGGGACGAGAGUGACAGGUGGUGCAUGGUUGUCGUCAGCUCGUGUCGUGAGAUGUUGGGUUAAGUCCCGCAACGAGCGCAACCCUUGAUCUUAGUUGCCAGCAUUCAGUUGGGCACUCUAAGGUGACUGCCGGUGACAAACCGGAGGAAGGUGGGGAUGACGUCAAAUCAUCAUGCCCCUUAUGACCUGGGCUACACACGUGGUCGACGCGGCCCGAAUU